rnacentral:lncRNA from 1 species
GUCAAAUAUAUGAAGUAAAGUUUUAAUUUUGGGUGUAUGACCUUAAAAUAUUUUAUAAAUUUUAAAAAGAGCUUUUAGUCCUCCUUUAUAUAGAUCAUGUUUUGCCUCUGUAAAGCUUCCGGAGGUACUGAAGUUUAUCCCUAAGUAUGUAUACUGUCUAGCUUUGUCAAUAGGACAAUUAUUUAAUUAAAAAGAUGCAUGAAUUAUUUUUCCUGUAC